rnacentral:pre_miRNA from 1 species
UGAUGAUGAUGAUGACGACGCUGAUGAUGAUGAUGAUGAUGAUGAUGAUGAUGAUGCUGAUGAUCAUUAUCAUCAUCAUCAUCAUGGAUAUUUUCU